rnacentral:rRNA from 1 species
UACGUAGGGGGCAAGCGUUGUCCGGAAUCAUUGGGCGGAAAGCGCGCGUAGGCGGCCCGGUAAGUCCGUUGUGAAAGUCAAAGGCUCAACCUUUGAACGCCGAUGGAUACUGCCGGGCUAGAGUCCGGAAGAGGCGAGUGGAAUUCCUGGUGUAGCGGUGGAAUGCGCAGAUAUCAGGAGGAACACCAAUAGCGAAGGCAGCUCGCUGGGACGUGACUGACGCUGAGACUCGAAAGCGUGGGGAGCAAACAGG